rnacentral:rRNA from 1 species
CGAACGAUGAUCUCCCGCUUGCGGGGGUGAUUAGUGGCGAACGGGUGAGUAAUACGUGAGUAACCUGCCCUUGACUCUGGGAUAAGCCUGGGAAACCGGGUCUAAUACUGGAUACUACUUCCUGCCGCAUGGUGGGGGGUGGAAAGGGUUUUACUGGUUUUGGAUGGGCUCACGGCCUAUCAGCUUGUUGGUGGGGUAAUGGCUCACCAAGGCGACGACGGGUAGCCGGCCUGAGAGGGUGACCGGCCACACUGGGACUGAGACACGGCCCAGACUCCUACGGGAGGCAGCAGUGGGGAAUAUUGCACAAUGGGCGGAAGCCUGAUGCAGCGACGCCGCGUGAGGGAUGACGGCCUUCGGGUUGUAAACCUCUUUCAGCAGGGAAGAAGCCACAAGUGACGGUACCUGCAGAAGAAGCGCCGGCUAACUACGUGCCAGCAGCCGCGGUAAUACGUAGGGCGCAAGCGUUGUCCGGAAUUAUUGGGCGUAAAGAGCUCGUAGGCGGUUUGUCGCGUCUGCUGUGAAAGCCCGGGGCUCAACCCCGGGUCUGCAGUGGGUACGGGCAGACUAGAGUGCAGUAGGGGAGACUGGAAUUCCUGGUGUAGCGGUGAAAUGCGCAGAUAUCAGGAGGAACACCGAUGGCGAAGGCAGGUCUCUGGGCUGUUACUGACGCUGAGGAGCGAAAGCAUGGGGAGCGAACAGGAUUAGAUACCCUGGUAGUCCAUGCCGUAAACGUUGGGCACUAGGUGUGGGGGACAUUCCACGUUCUCCGCGCCGUAGCUAACGCAUUAAGUGCCCCGCCUGGGGAGUACGGCCGCAAGGCUAAAACUCAAAGGAAUUGACGGGGGCCCGCACAAGCGGCGGAGCAUGCGGAUUAAUUCGAUGCAACGCGAAGAACCUUACCAAGGCUUGACAUUCACCGGACCGCACUGGAGACAGUGUUUCCCUUCGGGGUCGGUGGACAGGUGGUGCAUGGUUGUCGUCAGCUCGUGUCGUGAGAUGUUGGGUUAAGUCCCGCAACGAGCGCAACCCUCGUUCUAUGUUGCCAGC